GAUGAACGCUGGCGGUAUGCUUAACACAUGCAAGUCGAACGGACUCUUCGGAGUUAGUGGCGGACGGGUGAGUAACGCGUGAGAAUCUGGCUUUGGGUUCGGGACAGCCACUGGAAACGGUGGCUAAUACCGGAUGUGCCGAGAGGUAAAAGAGAAAUUGCCUGAAGAUGAGCUCGCGUCUGAUUAGCUAGUUGGUGAGGUAAAGGCUCACCAAGGCAGCGAUCAGUAGCUGGUCUGAGAGGAUGACCAGCCACACUGGGACUGAGACACGGCCCAGACUCCUACGGGAGGCAGCAGUGGGGAAUUUUCCGCAAUGGGCGAAAGCCUGACGGAGCAAUACCGCGUGAGGGAAGAAGGCUCUUGGGUUGUAAACCUCUUUUCUUAGGGAAGAACAAAAUGACGGUACCUAAGGAAUCAGCAUCGGCUAACUCCGUG
rnacentral:rRNA from 1 species